GAGUUUGAUUCUGGCUCAGGAUGAACGCUGGCGGCAUGCCUAACACAUGCAAGUUGAACGAGAAGUUCUGGAGGGAGUCUUCGGACGAACGAAGGAAUGGAAAGUAGCGAACGGGUGAGUAACGCGUGGGCAACCAACCUUACACAGGGGGAUAACGCAGAGAAAUUUGCGCUAAUACCGCAUAAGCGCACAGUGCCGCAUGGUACAGUGUGAAAAACUCCGGUGGUGUAAGACGGGCCCGCGUCUGAUUAGUUAGUUGGUGAGGUAAAAGCUCACCAAGGCGACGAUCAGUAGCCGACCUGAGAGGGUGAUCGGCCACAUUGGGACUGAGACACGGCCCAAACUCCUACGGGAGGCAGCAGUGGGGGAUAUUGCACAAUGGAGGAAACUCUGAUGCAGCAAUGCCGCGUGAAGGAAGACGGUUUUCGAAUUGUAAACUUCUAUCAGCAGGGAAGAAAAUGACGUACCUGACUAAGAG
rnacentral:rRNA from 1 species